AUAGUUUGAUUCUUGCUAUGUUUUUUGCUAGUUGGCUUGAAUAGUAUAUGCAAAUGUUAGUGGUUAUAGUGUCAGAAAUGUUCAUUUGAAAUGGGCGUGAGAUUUGAAGUUUAGUUCCCGACUACGAAAAAAGAAAAGCAGUACUAAAAAUUUAACAAUCAACUCAGGUUGGAUUAAGUAAAGGCCAUUUAGAUCAGGUUAAAACUUGUGCCAGCAUCCGCGGUUAGACUUGGGGAUCUAGUGAAAAAUUAUAAGCCACUGGUUAGACGAGAAGCUUUAUUUAUUAAGUGCUUGAGCCGAUAAGGGGUGAAAUUUGAGUAUCGGGAUAAUUAUUAAGGGCUAAUGAAAAUGAGCUAAGGUUGAAGCCGAGGAAUUUUAGGUAUGGACCAGGAUUAGAUACCCUGUUACACUAAUAAGAUUAAAUUUGUGGCUGGAGUAUUUAUAAUUAAUACGUUUGAAAUUCAAAGAACCUGGCGGUACUUUAGUCUAGUUAGAGGAACCUGUUGUAUAAACGAUAAACCACGUAGAAUCUUUCUUACUCUUGUUGCGCUAGUAUACCUUCAUUGUCAGAUAAUCUUUUGUAUAUGGAUUAUCGUGAUUGAGUAAAAUCAAAUAUAUUAGAUCAAGGUGCUGCUGAUGAGUGAGUAUGAAUGGGUUACAAUAUUUCUUAAGAGGCCGAAUAUGUUGGGAAGGUUAACAUAUGAAGAUGGAUUUAAUUGUAAAUUUUGGAUUUAAUAAGCUAAAAUGAUAAUAGCUCUAAAGUGUGUACAUAUUGCCCGUCGCUUUCAUUAAAUUAGAUGAGAUAAGUCGUAACAUAGUAGGUGUACUGGAAAGUGCACCUAGA
rnacentral:ncRNA from 1 species